rnacentral:rRNA from 1 species
AUUGAACGCUAGCGGGAUGCCUUACACAUGCAAGUCGAACGGAGUGGCGAACGGGUGAGUAAUGUAUCGGAACGUGCCCAGUAGCGGGGGAUAACUACGCGAAAGCGUAGCCAAUACCGCAUACUAUUGGAGCGGCCGAUAUCGGCUGAGCUAGUUGGUGGGGUAACGGCUUACCAAGGCGACGAUCCGUAGCUGGUUGGAGAGGACGACCAGCCACACUGGGACGGAGACACGGCCCAGAUUCCUACGGGAGGCAGCAGGGGUGAAUCUUGGACAAUGGGGGAAACCCUGAUCCAGCCAUCCCGCGUAUGCGAUGAAGGCCUUCGGGUUGUAAAGCACUUUUGGCAGGAAAGCGGUACCUGCAGAGUAAGCACCGGCUAACUACGUGCCAGCAGCCGCGGUAAUUC